GUUGAUUGGAGAUCCUCAGUCUCUCAACUUAGUUCUCUAAUGUCAAGUCUUAUUGAGUCUUAACAUCCUUUAUUUGCCCCUGCUCUUUCUGCCUACCUUUAUUUUGCUAGAACAUUCUUCUAUGGCAGUAUGUUGGUAACACUUUAGGACUGCCAAGCCCACAUUAGUAUACCCGGAGUCCUUAUACAAGAUACUCUUCUUAUAACACUAAUCUUGACUCAGUGGUGGGAGUGAUCUUAAAACUCAGGGCAUGACCUGCCCCAGUGUGGUUCCUGAGCCUGAGAGCUCCCAGAUCCACUGUCCAACCUUCUUUGUUUAUUCUGGGUUGGGACCUUUUGCAUUCCUUUCUUGUCAGUGGCAUCAACUACUUCAGUAGAAGGUAGAAGCCUAAAGAGCAAUGGAUGGGAGUUUCUUGCAUGAUCUUGACAUAUGUUGGGUCUUCUGAUUUCCAUCUCCACCUUCAACAUUAAAUAUACCACAUCUCUCCAAAGGUCAUGCCUGUUCCAGUAUCCUGAACUCAUUGAGGAGGUUGGACCAAGUGUGAAAUAAGUGAAGGUCAAGUUCUUGCUUUUAUCAGAGACUCUGAGCAAGAUCACUGAUGUUCUGGGAAAAGCUUGACUUCUCGGUGGGAUCUUCAUCUACUGUAAAUCACCAACAACCUGUUCAAGGAGCAAUGUUCCUAUACCAUGAUGAAAACCAGGUAGACAGUGAGUCCAAAGAAGGAAAUGAAUCUGAGGUCUACCACCUAAAUGCUUCCAAUUCUGUCUUCUAGGGAUCACUAAAAAAUCUUCAUAGUCCUAUAUCCCAGAGGAGGAUCCAACGUGCUGCAGGUAGCAUGAUUGGUGACAUGAGGCACUCAGAGGUUCACCACAAAUCAAAAAGACAAUAUUCAGAUAGUCUUCAUGGUCUUUCCUUAGUCUCACUUUAGAGACAGAACUGAAAUUCACCUUGGACCACAUCUUUUACAUGCAGAAUUCAUCUCAACAUUUAUCAUCAUGAAUAAACUUUCCAACCAGCUCUGAGAAUUCAUUUCGCAGAAAAUAGAAUAUCCUUGAAUGGCAAUAACAUUUCUGGACCCUUCUAAGCCAAUCCUGGUGGAUAGUAGAGUUCUGUCAGUAAUUGGAACAAUGAUUCUCUGCUGGUCCAUGAUGAGCAGAUUCCAGACACCUUUGAUCAAAAUGGAAUGGGAUGAUCUCGACUAUUUGACUGUUAAGUAUUCAAAAUGGUUUUUGGACACCCCAUUUGCACAAAGGAGUUAUGGAAGAAGAAACAUUUGGCCAUCAACUUCAAGCCUGUAUGUGUUCAUAUUUGCGUCCCAGCCCUUGAACUCUUGUGUCUCCAGGAGAAAACUUUUGGUGGGGUUGCUGCAGGAUCUACAUGUGGAUCUCUUUGCUUGCCCUCUGUGCAUGGAUA